rnacentral:lncRNA from 1 species
CUCUUGUCGCUGGUGCGUUCUACCUGCAUCUUUGCUCCAGCUCAGCUGGCUCCUCUAGGCCUGUGGCUGCCCACCGCAGUGGGCUCUGGGCUGGACUCUGGACCAUGCGUUGCUGGGUUUGCUGCUGUGAUGAUGGAGGUGCUGCUUUUGUCUGUCUGAUGUUUAUACUUUGUGGGUGUGGAGUGUGCCAGGAACAUCUCAUAUGUGCCAGGAACUGGCUCUUUGGAAAAGUCAGUCCAGGUUAGAAACAUAGACUGUGGCCGGGCACAGUGGCUCACGCCUGUAAUCCCAGCACUUUGGGAAGCCAAGGUGGGCAGAUCACUUGACUUGAGGUCAGGAGUUCGAGACCAGCCUGGCCAACAUUGCGAAACCCCGUCUCUACUAAAAAUACAAAAAUUAGCUGGGCGUGGUGGUGCAUGCCUGUAGUCCCAGCUAUCCAGCAGACUGAGGCACAGGAAUCGCUUGAACCCUGGAGACAGAGGUUGCAGUGAGCCAAGAUCAUGCCACUGCACUCCAGGACUGUUAUCAAGUUCACUCCAAAAGGGGAGAAGAGCCAUCCGGGCUGCAACUGCCACCAGGGGAAGCCAGAUUUCAGCCAAGUGGGGCCCUCCACCUAAGGCCGAGCGUGAACUGCAUCACACGGCCACCCCCAGUUGCAACAGAGACUGGGAAGGUGGAGUAUCAGAUGGAAAUCCUAUUGUCAGGACCCAGGCUGAGCAUGCUGCCUCCCCACAUGAAACCAGACUUCUGUUGGCAAGAAAGAUACAAGAUCGCUGGCCACUAUGGUUCUUGACAUGCUGUGCUGUCAUCUUCCAAAAACUGACGAGGGCCAGGUGCGGUGGCACACACCUGUAAUCCCAACAUCCUGGAGGCCGAGGCAAGAGGAUCACUUGAGGCCAGGACUUUGAGACUAGCUUGGGCAACAUAGCGAGACCCCCCAUCUCUACAAAAAAUAAAAAUAAAAAUUUUAAUUAAAAAAAUAGCCGA